rnacentral:rRNA from 1 species
CCUACGGGUGGCAGCAGUGGGGAAUAUUGCACAAUGGGCGCAAGCCUGAUGCAGCCAUGCCGCGUGUGUGAAGAAGGCCUUCGGGUUGUAAAGCACUUUCAGCGGGGAGGAAGGCGGUGAGGUUAAUAACCUCAUCGAUUGACGUUACCCGCAGAAGAAGCACCGGCUAACUCCGUGCCAGCAGCCGCGGUAAUACGGAGGGUGCAAGCGUUAAUCGGAAUUACUGGGCGUAAAGCGCACGCAGGCGGUCUGUCAAGUCGGAUGCGAAAUCCCCGGGCUCAACCUGGGAACUGCAUUCGAAACUGGCAGGCUAGAGUCUUGUAGAGGGGGGUAGAAUUCCAGGUGUAGCGGUGAAAUGCGUAGAGAUCUGGAGGAAUACCGGUGGCGAAGGCGGCCCCCUGGACAAAGACUGACGCUCAGGUGCGAAAGCGUGGGGAGCAAACAGGAUUAGAUACCCCAGUAGUC